rnacentral:lncRNA from 1 species
CUUAUUUCUAGUGAUUGUAUUGCAAUUGAAACCCUUAUGUAUUAUUGUUGUAUGUAUGCUUGCCUGGGAAAGGGGGGAAUUGACCCAUAGGGACCAGGGGGUAUUUUUGUGUAAACCAAACUGGGGUGGGAGGGCUCUAACGAGGGAAUCCCAUUGUCCAGUAGGUGCUUGAUUUGUGUCUGUGUAAAGUGCAUGAGUGGUUGCAGUUAAAAAAAAAAACCAAAAUACGGAAGAAUGAUAAGAGGGAUAAGAGAAAGUAGGCAUUUUGGGUUAUCUAUACAUGUUUAAAUAGAAGGGUGGUAAAUAGGAAUGUAAUUGUUUUGGUUAAUGUUUAGAUUAAAUUGGUUAAAUACAGCAGUGAUAACGAGUGUUUAGAUUAAAUUGGUAAAUGCAGCAGUAAUAACGAGUGUUUGGGUUAAAUUGGUAGAUACAGCAGUGAUAUUGUGUUUAUCUGUGAAUCAGGAGUGUGCUGGAUGUGAAGAGAGGUGUGUAGGUAUUUAUCCAAAUGCCAUAGGAAAAAAUAUGGUUAAGACACCACAAUCAAAUGGUACUUGUGAAGAUUGGCACAGUUAUUAUUUAUGUUUGUGUUCGUCAUUGCCUGUGUUUUCAUUCAAGAACUUUCAAGCAAGGAUAUUUUAAGCAGAAGAAGAAGAAGCACUGGACACUAUGCUCAACUGUUGCUGUAAGGAGAAAAAAUAUUGCAGCUAAGAGUGGUGAGAGUCGGAACAAAUGCAUCAGGAGCAGGACACUGUUACGUCAAGGUGGUUAAUGGUAUAAAGAAAGAAAAAUCAAAACAAUGUGACCACAAACACACAAAAGUCCUUGAUCACAUGAACUGUUUCAUUCAUCCCUGUCUCCAUGCGUAUGUUCUAUGAGACUGUCGAAGAAUAGAGUAUCCAGUUUCCAGGACUAAUGUUUCUGAAAAUUCCAGGCACACAGACCAGCCAAAGGCUACAGAAAUCGAGUCGGUCUGUGCCAUGAUUAAUAGGUGUUAUGAGUUUGUGGUGUCUAAUACUAUAUUAAGCUCCAAAACACAUCCUCACAUGAACACAAUAUCAUUGGUUAAUCUAAUAAAACAUGGUUUGAGUUGUUCAUUAUUAUAAGGGUGGGUAUGUGCCUAUUUCCCAACUGGUAAUGCAUGUGCUCAAUGGUGAACAUUUAUAUAAGCAAUAAAAUGUUAAUGGGUAAUAAUUAAUGGGUAAAUGGGUAUCGUUCUUCAAAAGGUGGGUUUUGUUGUAGGGCAGGUAGUGUUAAAAUGGGGAAGAUUCACAAUUUACUGGUUUUAUAAAUGCUUGUUUUAUGACAUAAGUCAAAGGGUGGUUUGUAAUGGUAUUUAUUAAUUAAUGACUUUACAUCAUAAAGAAAGCAUAUUUAGUGUAAUGCUUUGGGGGCACCACUAGGGGUAGUGUGUAGGAAGACAUGUGCUUCUGGCAGUGACAUCACAGGCCAGCCUACUUACACUGAAUAAAACCAGAUGGAGGAGAAAACUCUUUCUCUUUUUGCCUGUACCUGAAAGAUGUAGUAGCAGCUCUGACUUAACCCCAGCCAAAGGGCUGGGGCCUUGUAAGUAAAAUGUUGUGUAACAUGUAGCAACCUUUUGUAAGUAUUAUGUUGUAGUUUUGUAUUGUAUCAUAAUUGUAGUAAAUUGACAUUCUGCU